rnacentral:rRNA from 1 species
AUUGAACGCUGGCGGCAGGCCUAACACAUGCAAGUCGAACGGUAGCACAGAGAGCUUGCUCUCGGGUGACGAGUGGCGGACGGGUGAGUAAUGUCUGGGAAACUGCCCGAUGGAGGGGGAUAACUACUGGAAACGGUAGCUAAUACCGCAUAACGUCGCAAGACCAAAGUGGGGGACCUUCGGGCCUCACACCAUCGGAUGUGCCCAGAUGGGAUUAGCUAGUAGGUGGGGUAAUGGCUCACCUAGGCGACGAUCCCUAGCUGGUCUGAGAGGAUGACCAGCCACACUGGAUCUGAGACACGGUCCAGACUCCUACGGGAGGCAGCAGUGGGGAAUAUUGCACAAUGGGCGCAAGCCUGAUGCAGCCAUGCCGCGUGUAUGAAGAAGGCCUUCGGGUUGUAAAGUACUUUCAGCGGGGAGGAAGGCGGCGAAGUUAAUAACUUCACCGAUUGACGUUACCCGCAGAAGAAGCACCGGCUAACUCCGUGCCAGCCGCCGCUGUAAUAC